rnacentral:rRNA from 1 species
AUUGAACGCUGGCGGCAUGCCUUACACAUGCAAGUCGAACGCGAAAGGGGGGCAACCCCCGAGUAGAGUGGCGGACGGGUGAGUAAUACAUCGGAACGUACCCAGUAGUGGGGGACAACCUCGAGAAAUCGAGGCUAAUACCGCAUACGACCCACGGGUGAAAGCGGGGGACCGCAAGGCCUCGCGCUAUUGGAGCGGCCGAUGUCCGAUUAGCUAGUUGGUGGGGUAAGAGCCCACCAAGGCGACGAUCGGUAGCUGGUCUGAGAGGACGACCAGCAACACUGGGACUGAGACACGGCCCAGACUCCUACGGGAGGCAGCAGUGGGGAAUUUUGGACAAUGGGGGCAACCCUGAUCCAGCCAUGCCGCGUGCGGGAAGAAGGCCUUCGGGUUGUAAACCGCUUUCGGCCGGAACGAAAUCGCCGGGGAGAACAUCCCCGGUGGAUGACGGUACCGGAAGAAGAAGCACCGGCUAACUACGUGCCAGCAGCCGCGGUAAGAC